UCCGGUUUAACACCGGCAGUCCCAUUAAAGUGCCCAACUUAAUGAUGGCAAUUAAUAGUAAGGGUUGCGCUCGUUGCGUCACUUAAGACAACAUCUCACGACACGAGCUGACGACAGCCAUGCAGCACCUGUGUCUAGGUUCCCGAAGGCACAAUCGCAUCUCUGCAAUCUUCCUAGCAUGUCAAGAGCAGGUAAGGUUUUUCGCGUUGCAUCGAAUUAAUCCACAUCAUCCACCGCUUGUGCGGGUCCCCGUCAAUUCCUUUGAGUUUUAAUCUUGCGACCGUACUCCCCAGGCGGUCUACUUCUCGCGUUAGCUUCGCUACUGAGAUAAAUCCCAACAGCAAGUAGACAUCGUUUAGGGCGUGGACUAC
rnacentral:misc_RNA from 1 species